AAGAAGGGUCCACUUACAUCUUCUGAAGAUUCAGUGGUAUGAGUGAGGAACUGCACCACCAUCUGAUUCAGAUCACCAAUACUGUGAUAUACCUACUGUGCCUUCUUCAGAGAAAGGUGCAGAACAGAUUUGCCCCUACUUUAAUAACCUGUGUGAUACAUAUGCCUACUCAUUGUGAACAUGUUCCAUCAGCUGCAUCAGUCCACACCAGUGGGUCCAACUUCGGAACGAACUGCUUCUGCUCCAAGGAGUGUUUGCUACAUCUUCAGAGGCUGUUUUACUCAGAACUGGCUAAUAACGAGUCCUUGAAUGGCUCUGAAAAAUGUUUUGCUCUUCCCCACUGCUCAGUUUUCAGAUGGAUGCUUUUUGCUUUUCCACUCUUUUGGGAAAGUUCCUGGGAAAGUUCUUGUUUGUCCAUCAUUUGUAUAUCUGUAAUAUGUCUGUAUACCCCUUAAUUAUUCCUUUUUGCUAACAAUUUGCAUGUGGACAGUGUGACAAAAUACUAUUUUCUUAAAAAACUCAAGAAAGAAAAUCUUGCUCACAAGUCUUCACCAAACUAAAGGAAAUGAAUGUGAAUGUAUGAUCGUGCAUAUAAAGCAAUGUGCAACCAUCUA